rnacentral:misc_RNA from 1 species
GAAAUGCGAUAAGUAGUGUGAAUUGCAGAAUUCAGUGAAUCAUCGAAUCUUUGAACGCACAUUGCGCCCCUUGGUAUUCCUUGGGGCAUGCCUGUUCGAGCGUCAUUUGACCCCUCAAGCCCAGCUUGGUGAUGGGCGUCUGUCCCGCCCCCGCGCGUGGACUCGCCCCAAAAUCAUUGGCGGCCGGUACGUUGGCUUCGAGCGCAGCAGAAACGCGCACCUCGAGCCCGGCGGAUCGGCCCCCAGAAGCCCCCCUUUUUACCAUCUUGACCUCGGAUCAGGUAGGGAUACCCGCUGAACUUAA